GAGUUUGAUCCUGGCUCAGGACGAACGCUGGCGGCGUGCCUAAUACAUGCAAGUCGAACGAACUCUGGUAUUGAUUGGUGCUUGCAUCAUGAUUUACAUUUGAGUGAGUGGCGAACUGGUGACUAACACGUGGGAAACCUGCCCAGAAGCGGGGGAUAACACCUGGAAACAGAUGCUAAUACCGCAUAACAACUUGGACCGCAUGGUCCGAGYUUGAAAGAUGGCUUCGGCUAUCACUUUUGGAUGGUCCCGCGGCGUAUUAGCUAGAUGGUGGGGUAACGGCUCACCAUGGCAAUGAUACGUAGCCGACCUGAGAGGGUAAUCGGCCACAUUGGGACUGAGACACGGCCCAAACUCCUACGGGAGGCAGCAGUAGGGAAUCUUCCACAAUGGACGAAAGUCUGAUGGAGCAACGCCGCGUGAGUGAAGAAGGGUUUCGGCUCGUAAAACUCUGUUGUUAAAGAAGAACAUAUCUGAGAGUAACUGUUCAGGUAUUGACGGUAUUUAACCAGAAAGCCACGGCUAACUACGUGCCAGCAGCCGCGGUAAUACGUAGGUGGCAAGCGUUGUCCGGAUUUAUUGGGCGUAAAGCGAGCGCAGGCGGUUUUUUAAGUCUGAUGUGAAAGCCUUCGGCUCAACCGAAGAAGUGCAUCGGAAACUGGGAAACUUGAGUGCAGAAGAGGACAGUGGAACUCCAUGUGUAGCGGUGAAAUGCGUAGAUAUAUGGAAGAACACCAGUGGCGAAGGCGGCUGUCUGGUCUGUAACUGACGCUGAGGCUCGAAAGUAUGGGUAGCAAACAGGAUUAGAUACCCUGGUAGUCCAUACCGUAAACGAUGAAUGCUAAGUGUUGGAGGGUUUCCGCCCUUCAGUGCUGCAGCUAACGCAUUAAGCAUUCCGCCUGGGGAGUACGGCCGCAAGGCUGAAACUCAAAGGAAUUGACGGGGGCCCGCACAAGCGGUGGAGCAUGUGGUUUAAUUCGAAGCUACGCGAAGAACCUUACCAGGUCUUGACAUACUAUGCAAAUCUAAGAGAUUAGACGUUCCCUUCGGGGACAUGGAUACAGGUGGUGCAUGGUUGUCGUCAGCUCGUGUCGUGAGAUGUUGGGUUAAGUCCCGCAACGAGCGCAACCCUUAUUAUCAGUUGCCAGCAUUAAGUUGGGCACUCUGGUGAGACUGCCGGUGACAAACCGGAGGAAGGUGGGGAUGACGUCAAAUCAUCAUGCCCCUUAUGACCUGGGCUACACACGUGCUACAAUGGAUGGUACAACGAGUUGCGAACUCGCGAGAGUAAGCUAAUCUCUUAAAGCCAUUCUCAGUUCGGAUUGUAGGCUGCAACUCGCCUACAUGAAGUCGGAAUCGCUAGUAAUCGCGGAUCAGCAUGCCGCGGUGAAUACGUUCCCGGGCCUUGUACACACCGCCCGUCACACCAUGAGAGUUUGUAACACCCAAAGUCGGUGGGGUAACCUUUUAGGAACCAGCCGCCUAAGGUGGGACAGAUGAUUAGGGUGAAGUCGUAACAAGGUAGCC
rnacentral:rRNA from 1 species